rnacentral:lncRNA from 1 species
CGCUCCCGAAAGCGAUUUGCCAAAUACGGUCCCCUUUACGCAUCCGACACUUCGCCUCCGUAUAAGCCAGCUCGUACCAGAUCGAACUCGAUGAGGUGUUACCGAACCGGUGGAGCGUCAUACGGGAGGCCUCGACAUGUAAUGGAGAAAGUUGCAUAUUCUUCUCGAGCUCAUCGAUCACGCCUCUCCCUCCGGCAUGGAUACAGAAAUGUUCGAACGCGAGCUUGAAAUCCGGGAUAUAAGGCUUGAUUUUGGCAUUGAAC